rnacentral:rRNA from 1 species
UCGGGAAUUUUGGGCAAUGGGGGAAACCCUGACCCAGCAACGCCGCGUGAAGGAUGAAGUAUUUCGGUAUGUAAACUUCGAAAGAAUAGGAAGAAUAAAUGACGGUACUAUUUAUAAGGUCCGGCUAACUACGUGCCAGCAGCCGCGGUAAUACGUAGGGACCAAGCGUUGUUCGGAUUUACUGGGCGUAGAGGGCGCGUAGGCGGCAUGACAAGUCACUUGUGAAAUCUCUGGGCUUAACCCAGAACGGCCAAGUGAUACUGUCGCGCUAGAGUGCAGAAGGGGCAAUCGGAAUUCUUGGUGUAGCGGUGAAAUGCGUAGAUAUCAAGAGGAACACCUGAGGUGAAGGCGAGUUGCUAGGCUGACACUGACGCUGAGGUACGAAAGCUAGGGGAGCGAACGGGAUUAGAUACCCACGUAGUCCCUGAGCGGGCUGGCAAGGCGCAU